rnacentral:rRNA from 1 species
GACGAACGCUGGCGGCGUGCCUAAUACAUGCAAGUCGAACGCUGAAGGAGGAGCUUGCUUCUCCGGAUGAGUUGCGAACGGGUGAGUAACGCGUAGGUAACCUGCCUGGUAGCGGGGGAUAACUAUUGGAAACGAUAGCUAAUACCGCAUAACAGUAGAUGUUGCAUGACAUUUGCUUAAAAGGUGCAAUUGCAUCACUACCAGAUGGACCUGCGUUGUAUUAGCUAGUUGGUGAGGUAACGGCUCACCAAGGCGACGAUACAUAGCCGACCUGAGAGGGUGAUCGGCCACACUGGGACUGAGACACGGCCCAGACUCCUACGGGAGGCAGCAGGAGGGAAUCUUCGGCAAUGGACGGAAGUCUGACCGAGAAACGCCGCGUGAGCGAAGAAGGUUUUCGGAUCGUAAAGCUCUGUUGUAAGAGAAGAACGAGUGUGAGAGUGGAAAGUUCACACUGUGACGGUAUCUUACCAGAAAGGGACGGCUAACUACGUG